UGACGUAUAUGCUCCACCCACGGGGUAGACUACUGGCAGCCAGGUACUAGUUCCGACUUUGAGUGAUACUUGUCCGCACAAAACUUGCAAUUUAAGGCUUAGUCCAUUGUUCAAGUUGUGGAUGAAUGUAGCUUGAAGCUCUAGGCAAGAGUUCAACUUAACAGUCCUUGCUGAAACACUGGUAUAUCAAAUAGUAGUGAGAAAUAUACAAAACACCUAAACGGGUAUUUGAGAUCUAGUGGGGGAUUGUUAGAUAUAUGGGCUUGGCCCAUAUAAAUGAUAAUUCUGAAUAAAUCUCAAAGGCCCAUUAGCGUAAGAGGGGGUACACCAUCUAUUAGUCCCAUAUUGCUAAUAGACGAGGGUGUUGGGGGUUUUCCUCCCUAUAUAUAUGGACCAACUCCCUCAUGGAAUAGAUGUAAUAUAGACUACUAUACGGGAAGGCCCCAAGUUAGGGUAUCCCUAAGGUGGUCUGUACGAGUUAGGUUUUUGUCUCUUCUCGCUAUUGCACCGUGACCGUAAU
rnacentral:lncRNA from 1 species